UCGCCACACACACGCGGAGCCUCCUCUUUGUCACUCAAACAAUACCGCCAGACGCUUGCCCUGGUGUGAGGACGUUGUGCCUGGUGCCAGAAACAUUCAUCACGCACCAUUAGCCACUGACGCUCUUGUUGUGUUUAUACAUGUAGUUCUUAAUUACAUUUUGUUUUUUGUAACGUUUUAUUAGAUUCUCUUUUUGUUUUAUUUUGUUUUUCUCAGAACAGUGUCGUCGCGUUGCUUUAAUUAAAUCGUGUAUUUCUUCCGUUUGGAGUUUGCCUAGGCCCAAGGAGUAGUUACUUUCCUUGCGGGAAUGAUGGUGGCAUGCGUCUUAAUGGCUGAAACGCUGUAGCUCUUCGUGUCCUGAACAAUGAAGUGUUAACACUAGAUGAACGUUGACAGCUAAAGUUGAUAGAGUCAGGUUGCUUGUUUGGAGGGGUUUUUUUCGAAAUGAUCCACCCAAGGCCUGCAAGAUUAUAAGAUACUGUUUUCACGUCAACAUCAGAGAGUAGCAAAUUAUUUCACGUUAAUAAUUGUAGCCAGUGGGAACAGCCUCCAGAUGUUUGUGUUGGUAUGAUGUGGAUUCUAUCCCGUGUUUACUUUUGCUGCCAAAGUUGGAUUAAGUUGUGAUGGUAGAGAGGUGCCAGUGACAUGAAUUACAGUGGAGUUUGCGCAAACUCCACCAGAAGCAAUGACGUCAUGAACCUGACCGCCGUGACAUCGGAUCCGGCCGUGGGCGUGGUGACGUCAGAAUACCCGAACUGUGUUCGGGCCGUGUCGGAGACGAGGGGUCAGCUCGGCCUUGACCGUCAGCCCAGCAGGCGGGGCGUGGGUGACGAGGAGUCCGACUUCGGAGCGCUUGUCUACAUCGUGGUGGUGCUCAUCUUCUAUUCCACGGGUCAGUGAGUGGACGGACGACGAUGCAUAC